rnacentral:rRNA from 1 species
UACGUAGGGGGCAAGCGUUGUCCGGAAUCAUUGGGCGUAAAGCGCGUGUAGGCGGCCCGAUAAGUCCGCUGUGAAAGUCCAGGGCUCAACCCUGGAAUGCCGGUGGAUACUGUCGGGCUCGAGUCCGGAAGAGGCGAGUGGAAUUCCUGGUGUAGCGGUGAAAUGCGCAGAUAUCAGGAGGAACACCGCUGGCGAAGGCAGCUCGCUGGGACGGUACUGACGCUGAGACGCGAAAGCGUGGGGAGCAAACAGG